rnacentral:rRNA from 1 species
UACGGGGGGGGCAAGCGUUGUUCGGAAUUACUGGGCGUAAAGGGCUCGUAGGCGGCCAACUAAGUCGGACGUGAAAUCCCCAGGCUCAACCUGGGAACUGCGUCCGAUACUGGAUGGCUUGAAUCCGGGAGAGGGAUGCAGAAUUCCAGGUGUAGCGGUGAAAUGCGUAGAUAUCUGGAGGAACACCGGUGGCGAAGGCGGCAUCCUGGACCAACACUGACACUGAGGAGCGAAAGCCAGGGGAGCAAACGGG